UACAGAGGGUGCGAGCGUUAAUCGGAAUUACUGGGCGUAAAGCGUGCGUAGACGGUUAUUUAAGUCGGAUGUGAAAGCCCCGGGCUCAACCCUGGGAAUUGCAUUCGAGACUGAAUAGCUAGGGUACGGUAGAGGGAAGUGGAAUUUCCGGUGUAGCGGUGAAAUGCGUAGAUAUCGGAAGGAACAUCAGUGGCGAAAGCGACUUCCUGGACCAGUACCGACGUUCAGGCACGAAAGCGUGGGAGCAAACAGG
rnacentral:rRNA from 1 species